rnacentral:lncRNA from 10 species
GAAAAGCAAUUUUGUUAAUCACUUUAGCACCAAUUCUUGCAUCCCUGGCAAUACUCAGAACUGCUUCCAUCCAAGUCUUUGAUGUGGGAAAGAAACACACACACACUCUUUCGCAUGUAAUCUGAAAACAAUUCACCUCUUGCCAAUGAAUGCACAGCACUCCACUUUAAUAGAGAGCAAGUUCUGUGGAGGUUUCUAAUCCUUUCUGCCAAAGAAGAGAAGAGAGAGAAUCACUCAGCUUCUAUUGCAGAUGUGAAGUUUAGCAUUUCUUUGCUCACUCUUUUACUGGGAACUUGAAGCAACAGAGUUGGUGGUCCAGUGGCCAUUGUCCUGUGUUAGGAGCAGGUGGUCUCGCUAAGCUCCAUGUGUUUGGAAAUUUCUCUGACCAGUGCUUGUUCUGCUAAAGGAAGAAGAGCUCAAGCUGCACUCCUUGUUUCCAGGAUCCCAUCCAGAAUACAUUACCUUUAGUCAUCAUGUCUCCUGUGGCUCUUCUUGGCUGUGACAGUUUCUCAGCUUUCCCAGUUUUAAUGAACUUGCCAUUUUCAUCAGAUUGUACCAAGACCUACUAUCAAUAUGACUUAUGACUAGUGGUGCUGACCUUGAUCACCUGGCUGAGGUAGUUCUUGUCAGGCUUCUCCACUGUCGAGUUGCUCUCCCCAUCCCCCUUUUCCAUAUUGUACUCUUUGAAAGAAAGUCACUAUAUGCAGCCCUUCCUUAAAAAUAUUAAAAUGAACUAGC